rnacentral:rRNA from 1 species
AUUGAACGCUGGCGGCAGGCCUAACACAUGCAAGUCGAGCGGAUGAAGGGAGCUUGCUCCUGGAUUCAGCGGCGGACGAGUGAGUAAUGCCUAGGAAUCUGCCUGGUAGUGGGGGAUAACGUCCGGAAACGGGCGCUAAUACCGCAUACGUCCUGAGGGAGAAAGUGGGGGAUCUUCGGACCUCACGCUAUCAGAUGAGCCUAGGUCGGAUUAGCUAGUUGGUGGGGUAAAGGCCUACCAAGGCGACGAUCCGUAACUGGUCUGAGAGGAUGAUCAGUCACACUGGAACUGAGACACGGUCCAGACUCCUACGGGAGGCAGCAGUGGGGAAUAUUGGACAAUGGGCGAAAGCCUGAUCCAGCCAUGCCGCGUGUGUGAAGAAGGUCUUCGGAUUGUAAAGCACUUUAAGUUGGGAGGAAGGGCAGUAAGUUAAUACCUUGCUGUUUUGACGUUACCAACAGAAUAAGCACCGGCUAACUUCGUG